CCCUCUCCUCUGGCUUCCCCAGGGCACCCACCGUCUGCCAACGGCAGGGGAGCCCGGGAGCACCCAGACGCCGCUCAGAGAGCUGUUGGUGGUGGAGGGCAAGUCUUGGUCUCUGAGUUUCUGUGGCGCGAACUCGCUUUAAAAACUAGAACCAGUUUUGUCCGGGUCCAGGCUCUCUGGAAAGCGGCGGCGUAGAGAAAGCACCGGGGGUUCGGGGGCAGGGAACAGUUUUGGACCUGCGGCCCAGCGUACACUGCCCGGUGGAGAGGCCGAGGAGAGAGGUGGGCUCCAGUACCGGAGCGAGAAUAUCGAGGGAGCCGAGGCCUCGGAGUCUCGGUGGCCUAGAGUCCGAACACCGACUGGGAGAACCCUGCAGAGUGGUUUGCAGGGCGCUGAGUCCCCAGAAUCCUGGAGAACAAAGCGGCCCGGCCCGGGUGACCCCUGAGCGCCGCCUUCCCCCCCCACCCCGACACACACACAGCUGAGGGGGAAGGGGUUUAUGGCAGCGCCUUUCCCCAGCCACGUGGCGCCUCGCGCGUUCUUCUUUGGGAUCGCGGGGACAGCCGGCUCCCUUGAGGCGUCGUGGGCCAGCAAGUCUCCCCGCCUCGACCUCCCCCGCCCUCAUCGCCCCUUAGAUUAAGUGCGCUGAGGCCCAUCGCCGCCAUGGGUGCUGUUUUGGAAGUAUGCCUGUUUGAAAAUCGCCAGGCUGUGCGGGUCAGGACCCUCUCCCGGACAGUGGCCUUCCAAAGGCUGGCAAGUUGCCACAGCCCGCCCAGGAGCCCUCAAGGAGGCGCAGCGCGAAAGCAAGGCCUGGGGAGGCGGAGGUUCCAACUGUGGUCGCAGUAAAGCAGCAACUUCGUCUGGGGAACACAUACUCUGCUUUAAUCAAGUUCCUAUUCAACAUAUUCCCAGUGAUUAUUGGCCCAACUGCUUCAUUUUUUUUUUUUUUUUUUUUUUUUUUGGUCCAGAGCUCAUACAUAAGAUAUUUUCAGUUCGAUGUUUUUGGACUGGGAGUGAAAGUAGAUACAUUAAACGAAUAACCUAUGUGAGCUGAGGAGCUGGUCUCUGGGCCUGGAUCUAGGACCAUUUGUACACGUGCACCUGUGGAGAUCUGGAGGGAAACCCCAAAACAGGGCAUGGGAUUUUCAUUUUUUCUGCAAUGCUAAAAAUAACGGUCUGCCCUAGUGCAGGAACAAAGAAAAGACAAUUGGAAGUGCCCUGUUUUAGCAUACACCUGCUCUCCUGUGCAGGUAUCAGGAAUGUCUCUUCUUAGGAUCUGGGGAUAUUGCAGAGGCCCCCAGGACUGGGGGAGUACCAGAAUAAGGCCUUAUCAAUAAAGCCUUAUUGUGGGGGGAAGAGAGGCACCACAGCCAGGGCUGUAGAUCCUUCCACAGCAGAACCAGAAAGCUCCCCACUACGCCAGCUCUGUGCAAGGUGUUCAGUGGUCAGAGGUGAGUGAGAAGCAGCCCCUGCCCUCUCUCGGAGCCUUGGGCAUAGCUGGGAGACAGACAGAUCUUCACACAAAGUCACAAGGGCCUCCUCAAUGAGGAGGUGAUGCCGAAAGAGCCAGAAACGAGACUGGCUAGAAGCAUGGAGUGCAGCAAUUCGUCAUAUGUCCUUUAGGAGGUACCAGUGCAGAUGAACGAUGGAUGUGCUAUAAUAAAGCUGUGCAGACACAUAUGGGGCUUUGGAGGAGGGUGCAACCAGCUUUUGGGGGGAUAGUGCUAUGGGCUAAAUUUUGUCCUCCUGAAAAUUCAUAUGUUGAGCCCUAACCCCCAUUGUAACUCUAUUUGGAGAUGGAUUUUUCAGGAGGUGAUUAAGAUUAAAUAAGAUCAUAAGGGUGGGGUUCUAAUCUGAUAGGAUCGAUGGGCUCUCUCGCCCCCCCCCUCAGCCAUGUGAAGCCAGAGGGAGAAGGUGCUGGCAUUUGCAAACCAGGAAGAGAACCCACAGCAGAACCCAACAAUGCUGGCGCCCUAAUCUCAGACUUCUAGGCUUCAGAACUGUGAGAAAAUGCAUUUCUGUGGUUCAAGCCCCCUGUCUGGUAUUUUGUUAGGGCAGCAGGCACUGACUGAGACCAGAGGUUGAGGAGGGCUUCAUGCAGCCGUGGACCUUUGAUCCGCACCUUGAAGGAUGAGCAGGAAUUUGCUAGAAGGAGAGGUGCAAUUUGCAGAAUGGCAGGUGCAAAGGUGGAGCGGCUGCGAGUGCAUGGCGUGUUCUGGUAACAAAGGACAAGAUGUUUGAUGGGCUGGAGUGCAGGGAUUGCUGGGGAGGGGCCUAGAUAAGGCUGGAUGCACAGACAGGGCUGGGCUCACGGCCAAGGUGGCUCCGGGUGAAGGAGGACUCUCUCACAGGGUUUUGCCGCCCAGCUUCUAGCAGGGGAGCUCUGUGAUCCAAUGUGGGUUCCUGAAAGGCCACAGUGGGAGGGGCUGGAGAGGGAAGGGAUGACCGGAUGAGAAGCAGUGGCAACCUGAGGCCCCAGGAUGGGGGACAGAGGGCAGGGAUGGAUUUGAACAAAUUGUCAGGACUUGGGAGUCUGGGUAGGGGCUGAAUGCCUGGCUUCCGGCUGGGGUUACUGUCUGUCCACAACAUAA